GUAGAGACUAGAGUCUCACCUUGACGCUCAUAAUUGUCUUGGUGUGCUAGAGUUCUCUUAGAGUGAAGACUGGUCCUAUUCACCGACUGGCUCUUUGUGGGCCAGUCACCCACAUGGGCAGUUACAAAC